GACGAACGCUGGCGGCGUGCUUAACACAUGCAAGUCGAACGGAAAGGCCUCUUUCGGGGGGUACUCGAGUGGCGAACGGGUGAGUAACACGUGAGUAACCUGCCCUUGUCUUUGGGAUAACUUCAGGAAACUGGGGCUAAUACCGGAUAGGAGCUCCUGCUGCAUGGUGGGGGUUGGAAAGUUUUGGCGGUUGGGGAUGGACUCGCGGCUUAUCAGCUUGGUGGUGGGGUAGUGGCUUACCAAGGCUUUGACGGGUAGCCGGCCUGAGAGGGUGACCGGCCACAGUGGGACUGAGAUACGGCCCAGACUCCUACGGGAGGCAGCAGUGGGGAAUAUUGCACAAUGGGUGGAAGCCAGAUGCAGCAACGCCGUGUGCGGGAGGACGACCAUUGGGUUGUAAACCGCUUUCGCUCAUGACGAAGCUUUGUGUGACGGUAGUGGGUAAAGAAGCACCGGCUAACUACGUG
rnacentral:rRNA from 1 species